rnacentral:rRNA from 1 species
AUGGGGUGCAGCAGGCGCGAACACUUUACAAUGCGGGAAACCGCGAUAAGGGAACCCCGAGUGCCAGCACCAAGUGUUGGCUGUCCAGAUGAUUAAAUCUCAUUUGUUAGCAAGGGCCGGGCAAGACCGGUGCCAGCCGCCGCGGUAACACCGGCGGCCCGAGUGGUAACCGUUUUUAUUGGGUCUAAAGGGUCCGUAGCCGGUCUGAUCAGUCUUUUGGGAAAUCUGGCAGCUUAACUGUCAGGCUUCUAAGAGAUACUGUCAGGCUUGGGACCGGGAGAGGUAAGGGGUACUCCAGGGGUAGGAGUGAAAUCUUGUAAUCCCUGGGGGACCAUCUGUGGCGAAGGCGCCUUACCAGAACGGGUCCGACGGUGAGGGACGAAAGCUAGGGGAGCAAACCGGAUUAGAUACCCGGGUAGUCCUAGCUGUAAACGAUGCUCGCUAGGUGUCAGGCACGGUGCGUCCGUGUUUGGUGCCGUAGGGAAGUCGAGAAGCGAGCCACCUGGGAAGUACGGUCGCAAGGCUGAAACUUAAAGGAAUUGGCGGGGGAGCAC